rnacentral:rRNA from 1 species
AUUGAACGCUGGCGGUAUGCUUAACACAUGCAAGUCGAACGGCAGCACAGCCUUCGGGCUCUCGUACAGCUGCGGACGGGCGAAUAAUUCAGCGGAACAUCCCCAUUUACUUUUUCUAACACUUUAACAUAAGGACUCAUACCCCAUUACUCCUGACGACGUAAGCGUGAAAUCGCAAGACCUUGCGCCCUUGCGCGUGCCGAUGUCAGAUUAGCUAGUUGGCGGGGUAAAGGCCUACCAAGGCGACGAUCUGUAGCUGGUCUGAGAGGAUGAUCAGCCACACUGGAACUGAGACACGGCCCAGACUCCUACGGGAGGCAGCAGUGGGGAAUUUUGGACAAUGGGCGCAAGCCUGAUCCAGCCAUUCCGCGUGAGUGAAGAAGGCCUUCGGGUUGUAAAGCUCUUUUGGCAGGAACGAAACGGUGGGCGCUAAUAUCGUGCGGUAAUGACGGUACCUGAAGAAUAAGCACCGGCUAACUACGUG